GGUUAAGCGACUAAGCGUACACGGUGGAUGCCUUGGCAGUCAGAGGCGAUGAAGGACGUGCUAAUCUGCGAUAAGCGUCGGUAAGGUGAUAUGAACCGUUAUAACCGGCGAUUUCCGAAUGGGGAAACCCAGUGUGAUUCGUCACACUAUCAUUAACUGAAUCCGUAGGUUAAUGAGGCGAACCGGGGGAACUGAAACAUCUAAGUACCCCGAGGAAAAGAAAUCAACCGAGAUUCCCCCAGUAGCGGCGAGCGAACGGGGAGCAGCCCAGAGCCUGAAUCAGUGUGUGUGUUAGUGGAAGCGUCUGGAAAGGCGCGCGAUACAGGGUGACAGCCCCGUACACAAAAAUGCACAUGCUGUGAGCUCGAUGAGUAGGGCGGGACACGUGGUAUCCUGUCUGAAUAUGGGGGGACCAUCCUCCAAGGCUAAAUACUCCUGACUGACCGAUAGUGAACCAGUACCGUGAGGGAAAGGCGAAAAGAACCCCGGCGAGGGGAGUGAAAAAGAACCUGAAACCGUGUACGUACAAGCAGUGGGAGCACAGAGCAAUCUGUGUGACUGCGUACCUUUUGUAUAAUGGGUCAGCGACUUAUAUUCUGUAGCAAGGUUAACCGAAUAGGGGAGCCGAAGGGAAACCGAGUCUUAACUGGGCGUUAAGUUGCAGGGUAUAGACCCGAAACCCGGUGAUCUAGCCAUGGGCAGGUUGAAGGUUGGGUAACACUAACUGGAGGACCGAACCGACUAAUGUUGAAAAAUUAGCGGAUGACUUGUGGCUGGGGGUGAAAGGCCAAUCAAACCGGGAGAUAGCUGGUUCUCCCCGAAAGCUAUUUAGGUAGCGCCUCGUGAAUUCAUCUCCGGGGGUAGAGCACUGUUUCGGCAAGGGGGUCAUCCCGACUUACCAACCCGAUGCAAACUGCGAAUACCGGAGAAUGUUAUCACGGGAGACACACGGCGGGUGCUAACGUCCGUCGUGAAGAGGGAAACAACCCAGACCGCCAGCUAAGGUCCCAAAGUCAUGGUUAAGUGGGAAACGAUGUGGGAAGGCCCAGACAGCCAGGAUGUUGGCUUAGAAGCAGCCAUCAUUUAAAGAAAGCGUAAUAGCUCACUGGUCGAGUCGGCCUGCGCGGAAGAUGUAACGGGGCUAAACCAUGCACCGAAGCUGCGGCAGCGACGCUUAUGCGUUGUUGGGUAGGGGAGCGUUCUGUAAGCCUGUGAAGGUGUACUGUGAGGUAUGCUGGAGGUAUCAGAAGUGCGAAUGCUGACAUAAGUAACGAUAAAGCGGGUGAAAAGCCCGCUCGCCGGAAGACCAAGGGUUCCUGUCCAACGUUAAUCGGGGCAGGGUGAGUCGACCCCUAAGGCGAGGCCGAAAGGCGUAGUCGAUGGGAAACAGGUUAAUAUUCCUGUACUUGGUGUUACUGCGAAGGGGGGACGGAGAAGGCUAUGUUGGCCGGGCGACGGUUGUCCCGGUUUAAGCGUGUAGGCUGGUUUUCCAGGCAAAUCCGGAAAAUCAAGGCUGAGGCGUGAUGACGAGGCACUACGGUGCUGAAGCAACAAAUGCCCUGCUUCCAGGAAAAGCCUCUAAGCAUCAGGUAACAUCAAAUCGUACCCCAAACCGACACAGGUGGUCAGGUAGAGAAUACCAAGGCGCUUGAGAGAACUCGGGUGAAGGAACUAGGCAAAAUGGUGCCGUAACUUCGGGAGAAGGCACGCUGAUAUGUAGGUGAAGUCCCUCGCGGAUGGAGCUGAAAUCAGUCGAAGAUACCAGCUGGCUGCAACUGUUUAUUAAAAACACAGCACUGUGCAAACACGAAAGUGGACGUAUACGGUGUGACGCCUGCCCGGUGCCGGAAGGUUAAUUGAUGGGGUCAGCGCAAGCGAAGCUCUUGAUCGAAGCCCCGGUAAACGGCGGCCGUAACUAUAACGGUCCUAAGGUAGCGAAAUUCCUUGUCGGGUAAGUUCCGACCUGCACGAAUGGCGUAAUGAUGGCCAGGCUGUCUCCACCCGAGACUCAGUGAAAUUGAACUCGCUGUGAAGAUGCAGUGUACCCGCGGCAAGACGGAAAGACCCCGUGAACCUUUACUAUAGCUUGACACUGAACAUUGAGCCUUGAUGUGUAGGAUAGGUGGGAGGCUUGGAAGUGUGGACGCCAGUCUGCAUGGAGCCGACCUUGAAAUACCACCCUUUAAUGUUUGAUGUUCUAACGUUGACCCGUAAUCCGGGUUGCGGACAGUGUCUGGUGGGUAGUUUGACUGGGGCGGUCUCCUCCUAAAGAGUAACGGAGGAGCACGAAGGUUGGCUAAUCCUGGUCGGACAUCAGGAGGUUAGUGCAAUGGCAUAAGCCAGCUUGACUGCGAGCGUGACGGCGCGAGCAGGUGCGAAAGCAGGUCAUAGUGAUCCGGUGGUUCUGAAUGGAAGGGCCAUCGCUCAACGGAUAAAAGGUACUCCGGGGAUAACAGGCUGAUACCGCCCAAGAGUUCAUAUCGACGGCGGUGUUUGGCACCUCGAUGUCGGCUCAUCACAUCCUGGGGCUGAAGUAGGUCCCAAGGGUAUGGCUGUUCGCCAUUUAAAGUGGUACGCGAGCUGGGUUUAGAACGUCGUGAGACAGUUCGGUCCCUAUCUGCCGUGGGCGCUGGAGAACUGAGGGGGGCUGCUCCUAGUACGAGAGGACCGGAGUGGACGCAUCACUGGUGUUCGGGUUGUCAUGCCAAUGGCACUGCCCGGUAGCUAAAUGCGGAAGAGAUAAGUGCUGAAAGCAUCUAAGCACGAAACUUGCCCCGAGAUGAGUUCUCCCUGACUCCUUGAGAGUCCUGAAGGAACGUUGAAGACGACGACGUUGAUAGGCCGGGUGUGUAAGCGCAGCGAUGCGUUGAGCUAACCGGUACUAAUGAACCGUGAGGCUUAACCUU
rnacentral:rRNA from 1 species